rnacentral:rRNA from 1 species
UACGUAGGGGGCGAGCGUUGUCCGGAUUUAUUGGGCGUAAAGAGCUCGUAGGCGGUUUGGUAAGUCGGGUGUGAAAUCUCCACGCUCAACGUGGAGGGGCCACUCGAUACUGCCAUGACUCGAGUCCGGUAGAGGAGUGUGGAAUUCCCGGUGUAGCGGUGAAAUGCGCAGAUAUCGGGAGGAACACCGAUGGCGAAGGCAGCUCGCUGGGACGGUACUGACGCUGAGGCGCGAAAGCGUGGGGAGCGAACAGG